rnacentral:rRNA from 1 species
AUACGUAGGGGGCGAGCGUUGUCCGGAAUUAUUGGGCGUAAAGGGCGCGUAGACGGCCGGAUAAGUUACUUGUGAAAGCCCGCCUUUCAAGGGCGGAACUGCAAGUAAUACUGUCUGGCUUGAGUGCAGGAGAGGAAAGCGGAAUUCCUAGUGUAGCGGUGAAAUGCGUAGAUAUUAGGAGGAACACCAGUGGCGAAGGCGGCUUUCUGGACUGUAACUGACGUUGAGGCGCGAAAGCGUGGGGAGC